GUAGGUAUAGCCCAAUGGUAGAGCAAAUGUUUAGCAUGCAUGAGGUCUUGGAUUCAAUCUCCAAUACCUCCA
rnacentral:tRNA from 1 species